rnacentral:rRNA from 1 species
GUGGGGAAUAUUGCGCAAUGGGCGAAAGCCUGACGCAGCCAUACCGCGUGUGUGAAGAAGGCCUUAGGGUUGUAAAGCACUUUCAGCGAGGAGGAAAAGUUGUGUGUUAAUAGCACAUAACCGUGACGUUACUCGCAGAAGAAGCACCGGCUAAUUCAGUGCCAGCAGCCGCGGUAAUACUGAAGGUGCAAGCGUUAAUCGGAAUUACUGGGCGUAAAGCGCGCGUAGGCGGCUUGUUAAGUCGGAUGUGAAAGCCCUGGGCUCAACCUAGGAACUGCAUUCGAUACUGGCAAGCUAGAGUAUAGGAGAGGGCUGUGGAAUUCCAUGUGUAGCGGUGAAAUGCGUAGAUAUGUGGAGGAACAUCAGUGGCGAAGGCGGCAGCCUGGCCUAAUACUGACGCUGAGGUGCGAAAGCGUGGGGAGCAAACAGG